rnacentral:rRNA from 1 species
AUACGGAGGAUCCGAGCGUUAUCCGGACUUAUUGGGUUUAAAGGGUGCGCAGGCGGCCGUUUAAGUCAGCGGUUAAAUCGUGGGGCUCAACCCCAUUCUGCCGUUGAUACUGGGUGGCUUGAUUGCGGUCGAGGUUGGCGGAAUUCGUUGUGUAGCGGUGAAAUGCAUAGAUAUGACGAAGAACACCGAUUGCGUAGGCAGCUGACCAGACCGCAAAUGACGCUCAUGCACGAAAGUGCGGGGAUCGAACAGGAUUAGAUACCCUGGUAGUCCGCACAGUAAGCGAUGAAUACUUGUUUUCGGCGAUAUAAUGUCGGAGGCAAAGCGAAAGCGAUAAGUAUUCCACCUGGGGAGUACGCCGGCAACGGUGAAACUCAAAUGAAUUGACGGGG